CCUACGGGAGGCUGCAGUGAGGAAUAUUGGUCAAUGGGCGUAAGCCUGAACCAGCCAAGUCGCGUGAGGGAUGAAGGUUCUAUGGAUCGUAAACCUCUUUUAUAAGGGAAUAAAGUGUGGGACGUGUCCUAUUUUGUAUGUACCUUAUGAAUAAGGAUCGGCUAACUCCGUGCCAGCAGCCGCGGUAAUACGGAGGAUCCGAGCGUUAUCCGGCUUUAUUGGGUUUACAGGGUGCGUAGGCGGCCUUUUAAGUCAGCGGUGAAAGGCUGUGGCUCAACCAUAGAAUUGCCGUUGAAACUGGGGGGCUUGAGUAUGUGAGAGGCAGGCGGAAUGCGUGGUGUAGCGGUGAAAUGCUUAGAUAGCACGCAGAACCCCGAUUGCGAAGGCAGCCUGCCAAGCCAUGACUGACGCUGAUACACGAAAGCGUGGGGAUCAAACAGGAUUAGAUACCCUGGUAGUC
rnacentral:rRNA from 1 species